GAUGAACGCUGGCGGCGUGCCUAAUACAUGCAAGUCGAGCGAACGGACGAGAAGCUUGCUUCUCUGAUGUUAGCGGCGGACGGGUGAGUAACACGUGGAUAACCUACCUAUAAGACUGGGAUAACUUCGGGAAACCGGAGCUAAUACCGGAUAAUAUUUUGAACCGCAUGGCUCAAAAGUGAAAGACGGUCUUGCUGUCACUUAUAGAUGGAUCCGCGCUGCAUUAGCUAGUUGGUAAGGUAACGGCUUACCAAGGCAACGAUGCAUAGCCGACCUGAGAGGGUGAUCGGCCACACUGGAACUGAGACACGGUCCAGACUCCUACGGGAGGCAGCAGUAGGGAAUCUUCCGCAAUGGGCGAAAGCCUGACGGAGCAACGCCGCGUGAGUGAUGAAGGUCUUCGGAUCGUAAAACUCUGUUAUUAGGGAAGAACAUAUGUGUAAGUAACUGUGCACAUCUUGACGGUACCUAAUCAGAAAGCCGCGGCUAACUACGUG
rnacentral:rRNA from 1 species